GACGAACGCUGGCGGCGUGCUUAACACAUGCAAGUCGAACGGAAAGGCCCUGCUUUUGUGGGGUGCUCGAGUGGCGAACGGGUGAGUAACACGUGAGUAACCUGCCCUUGACUUUGGGAUAACUUCAGGAAACUGGGGCUAAUACCGGAUAGGAGCUCCUGCUGCAUGGUGGGGGUUGGAAAGUUUCGGCGGUUGGGGAUGGACUGGCGGCUUAUCAGCUUGUUGGUGGGGUAGUGGCUUACCAAGGCUUUGACGGGUAGCCGGCCUGAGAGGGUGACCGGCCACAUUGGGCCUGAGAUACGGCCCAGCCUCCUACGGGAGGCAGCAGUGGGGAAUAUUGCACAAUGGGCGGAAGCCUGAUGUAGCCACGCCGCGUGCGGGAUGACGGCAUUCGGGUUGUAAACCGCUUUCGCCUGUGACGAAGCGUGAGUGACGGUAAUGGGUAAAGAAGCACCGGCUAACUACGUG
rnacentral:rRNA from 1 species